GACGUGACAACACAGCUAACAGCAUCAGCACCCCACAGAAUUAAACGUCUUUGGAGACGUGUGGUGCGCAGGAACUAACAUACACAACAAUGUGCUGCACUCAGGAGAGGACAACAGUUUGCUUGACCUGUCAAACAUGUUAGAUAAGUUCUGUUGUCACCAUUUAUUUGUCCCAAGACUACAACUAAGUUUUCACACCAUCAGCAGUGGCUGAGAUGACCAUUCACUCAGAACUGAGGGGAAUCUAACACUCAGUCAGUUAUGGAAGAUGGGAAGCAUCCAGCAUGCUGUGGUAGAACCAGAAAUCACAGAGGGACUCUGCCUGCCUCAUAUUGACUGGGACAACAGUGGACUGCUGGGUGACCCACACUGUGGGGUCACUAUUUCUGAAACUGGCAAUGUGUUGAGCCCUGAACAACUUGGUUGC